rnacentral:rRNA from 1 species
UACGAAGGGGGCUAGCGUUGCUCGGAAUCACUGGGCGUAAAGCGCACGUAGGCGGAUUGUUAAGUCAGGGGUGAAAUCCUGGAGCUCAACUCCAGAACUGCCUUUGAUACUGGCGAUCUCGAGUCCGGGAGAGGUGAGUGGAACUGCGAGUGUAGAGGUGAAAUUCGUAGAUAUUCGCAAGAACACCAGUGGCGAAAGCGGCGCACUGGACCAUAACUGACGCUGAGGCGCGAAAGCUAGGGGAGCAAACAGG